rnacentral:rRNA from 1 species
CGCGAUUGGAGCGGCCGAUAUCAGAUUAGGUAGUUGGUGAGGUAAAGGCUCACCAAGCCGACGAUCUGUAGCUGGUCUGAGAGGACGACCAGCCACACUGGGACUGAGACACGGCCCAGACUCCUACGGGAGGCAGCAGUGGGGAAUUUUGGACAAUGGGCGCAAGGCCUGAUCCAGCAAUGCCGCCGUGCAGGAUGAAGGCCUUCGGGUUGUAAACUGCUUUUUGUACGGAACGAAACGGUGAGCUCUAAUACAGUUUGCUAAUGACGGUACCGUAAGAAUAAGCACCGGCUAACUACGUG